AUACGGAGGAUCCGAGUGUUAUCCGGAUUUAUUGGGUUUAAAGGGUGCGCAGGCGGAAGAUUUAAGUCGGCGGUGAAAUUUUGCAGCUCAACUGUAAAAGUGCCUUCGAAACUGGUUUUCUUGAGUGUGGAUGAAGUAGGCGGAAUUUGUGGUGUAGCGGUGAAAUGCUUAGAUAUCACGAGGAACUCCGAUUGCGCAGGCAGCUUACUAAACCACUACUGACGCUCAUGCACGAAGGCGUGGGGAUC
rnacentral:rRNA from 1 species